rnacentral:rRNA from 1 species
UUUAACGGCCGCGGUAUCCUAACCGUGCAAAGGUAGCGUAAUCACUUGUCCCUUAAAUAGGGACCAGUAUGAACGGCUAAAUGAGGAUAAACCUGUCUCCUUUAACAAAUCAGUGAAACUGAUCUACCAGUACAAAAGCUGGUAUAAUCCCAUAAGACGAGAAGACCCUGUGGAGCUUUAAAUUUUAACCAAGCAACCAACGCAAGCUCAGCCAAUGGCUAAAAAUUUUAAGUUGGGGCGACUUCGGAAAUAAACUAAACUUCCGAGCAUAAGAUAACAUCUUACCAAGACCUACAAGUCAAAGCUAAAAUUGACCCAGUACCACUGACUACCGAACCAAGUUACCCCAGGGAUAACAGCGCAAUCUUCUUCAAGAGUCCCUAUCGACAAGAAGGUUUACGACCUCGAUGUUGGAUCAGGACACCCAAAUGGUGCAGCCGCUAUUAAAGGUUC